rnacentral:rRNA from 1 species
CUACGGGUGGCUCCAGUGGGGAAUAUUGCACAAUGGGCGCAAGCCUGAUGCAGCCAUGCCGCGUGUAUGAAGAAGGCCUUCGGGUUGUAAAGUACUUUCAGCGGGGAGGAAGGGAGUAAAGUUAAUACCUUUGCUCAUUGACGUUACCCGCAGAAGAAGCACCGGCUAACUCCGUGCCAGCAGCCGCGGUAAUACGGAGGGUGCAAGCGUUAAUCGGAAUUACAGGGCGUAAAGCGCACGCAGGCGGUUUGUUAAGUCAGAUGUGAAAUCCCCGGGCUCAACCUGGGAACUGCAUCUGAUACUGGCAAGCUUGAGUCUCGUAGAGGGGGGUAGAAGUCCAGGUGUAGCGGUGAAAUGCGUAGAGAUCUGGAGGAAUACCGGUGGCGAAGGCGGCCCCCUGGACGAAGACUGACGCUCAGGUGCGAAAGCGUGGGGAGCAAACAGGAUUAGAUACCCUAGUAGUC